rnacentral:lncRNA from 1 species
CGUAGGUCAUGUAGCCAAUGAAGAUGGGCCUGGUGGUGCUCGUCCGGAACCUGCUGCUCACCCUGUGCCUCUGCCUGGUGCUGGGCUUCAUGUACUACGCCGCCUGGAAGCUGCACCUCCUCCGAUGGGAAGACCCUAGAAGGAGAAAGAAGAACAAUGUGGCCUUUGACUUUCUGUCUCUGCUGCCCUCAGGCCUUGCUGUGGACUCAGGACAAUCCAGAACCCAGAAAGAGAUGAUCGAUGCCCGGGCUGCCCGGGGCCCAGCCCAGUCCAGGAGCUGCUGUCCAGCCAUGAGGUUCUGGCCUGGCCUGACAAUCCUGGGGCACCCUGGUGCUGGACUGAAGGAAGGCCAGAGGUAAUGAGGCUGGCAUGGCUAGUCUCUACCCCCUCUGCCUGCCUGCACCAAGCCAGGUCCUUCCCGCUGGGUGGUCCCCAGGAUCUGCAGCCAAAGACUAAACAGUUCUCCUUCACUGCCCACCAGCCGG